GCCACUAUAGCUCAGUUGGUAGAGCAACGCAUUCGUAACGCGUAGGUCACGAGUUCGAGUCUCGUUAGUGGCU
rnacentral:tRNA from 1 species